UACGGAGGGUGCAAGCGUUAUCCGGAUUCAUCGUGGGUUUAAAGGGUGCGUAGGUGGGUCUAGUAAGUCCGUGGAUGAAUCCCCGGAGCUUAACUCCGGGAACUGCCGUGGAUACUAUUAGUCGUUGAAUAUCGUAGGAGGUAAGGCGGAAUAAUGUCAUGUAGCGGUGAAAUGCUUAGAUAUGACAUAGAACACCGAUAGCGGAGG
rnacentral:rRNA from 1 species